rnacentral:rRNA from 1 species
UUAAGCGACUAAGCGUACACGGUGGAUGCCCUGGCAGUCAGAGGCGAUGAAGGACGUGCUAAUCUGCGAAAAGCGUCGGUAAGGUGAUAUGAACCGUUAUANCCGGCGAUGUCCGAAUGGGGAAACCCAGUGCAAUUCGUUGCACUAUCGUUAACUGAAUACAUAGGUUAACGAGGCGAACCGGGGGAACUGAAACAUCUAAGUACCCCGAGGAAAAGAAAUCAACCGAGAUUCCCCCAGUAGCGGCGAGCGAACGGGGAGCAGCCCAGAGUCUGAAUCAGCUUGUGUGUUAGUGGAACGGUCUGGAAAGUCCGACGGUACAGGGUGAUAGUCCCGUACACCAAAAUGCACAGGCUGUGAACUCGAAGAGUAGGGCGGGACACGUGGUAUCCUGUCUGAAUAUGGGGGGACCAUCCUCCAAGGCUAAAUACUCCUGACUGACCGAUAGUGAACCAGUACCGUGAGGGAAAGGCGAAAAGAACCCCGGCGAGGGGAGUGAAAAAGAACCUGAAACCGUGUACGUACAAGCAGUGGGAGCACCUUCGGGUGUGACUGCGUACCUUUUGUAUAAUGGGUCAGCGACUUAUAUUCUGUAGCAAGGUUAACCGUAUAGGGGAGCCGCAGGGAAACCGAGUCUUAACUGGGCGUUAAGUUGCAGGGUAUAGACCCGAAACCCGGUGAUCUAGCCAUGGGCAGGUUGAAGGUUGGGUAACACUAACUGGAGGACCGAACCGACUAAUGUUGAAAAAUUAGCGGAUGACUUGUGGCUGGGGGUGAAAGGCCAAUCAAACCGGGAGAUAGCUGGUUCUCCCCGAAAGCUAUUUAGGUAGCGCCUCGUGAACUCAUCUUCGGGGGUAGAGCACUGUUUCGGCUAGGGGGUCAUCCCGACUUACCAACCCGAUGCAAACUACGAAUACCGAAGAAUGUUAUCACGGGAGACACACGGCGGGUGCUAACGUCCGUCGUGAAGAGGGAAACAACCCAGACCGCCAGCUAAGGUCCCAAAGUCAUGGUUAAGUGGGAAACGAUGUGGGAAGGCACAGACAGCCAGGAUGUUGGCUUAGAAGCAGCCAUCAUUUAAAGAAAGCGUAAUAGCUCACUGGUCGAGUCGGCCUGCGCGGAAGAUGUAACGGGGCUAAACCAUGCACCGAAGCUGCGGCAGCGACACUAUGUGUUGUUGGGUAGGGGAGCGUUCUGUAAGCCUGCGAAGGUGACCUGUGAGGGUUGCUGGAGGUAUCAGAAGUGCGAAUGCUGACAUAAGUAACGAUAAAGCGGGUGAAAAGCCCGCUCGCCGGAAGACCAAGGGUUCCUGUCCAACGUUAAUCGGGGCAGGGUGAGUCGACCCCUAAGGCGAGGCCGAAAGGCGUAGUCGAUGGGAAACAGGUUAAUAUUCCUGUACUUGGUGUUACUGCGAAGGGGGGACGGAGAAGGCUAUGUUAGCCGGGCGACGGUUGUCCCGGUUUAAGCAUGUAGGCUGGUUGUCCAGGCAAAUCCGGAUAAUCAAGGCUGAGGUGUGAUGACGAGGCACUACGGUGCUGAAGUAACAAAUGCCCUGCUUCCAGGAAAAGCCUCUAAGCAUCAGGUAACAUCAAAUCGUACCCCAAACCGACACAGGUGGUCAGGUAGAGAAUACCAAGGCGCUUGAGAGAACUCGGGUGAAGGAACUAGGCAAAAUGGUGCCGUAACUUCGGGAGAAGGCACGCUGGUGUGUAGGUGAAGCCCCUGCGGGUGGAGCUGAGACCAGUCGAAGAUACCAGCUGGCUGCAACUGUUUAUUAAAAACACAGCACUGUGCAAACACGAAAGUGGACGUAUACGGUGUGACGCCUGCCCGGUGCCGGAAGGUUAAUUGAUGGGGUUAUCCGUAAGGAGAAGCUCUUGAUCGAAGCCCCGGUAAACGGCGGCCGUAACUAUAACGGUCCUAAGGUAGCGAAAUUCCUUGUCGGGUAAGUUCCGACCUGCACGAAUGGCGUAAUGAUGGCCAGGCUGUCUCCACCCGAGACUCAGUGAAAUUGAACUCGCUGUGAAGAUGCAGUGUACCCGCGGCAAGACGGAAAGACCCCGUGAACCUUUACUAUAGCUUGACACUGAACAUUGAGCCUUGAUGUGUAGGAUAGGUGGGAGGCUUUGAAGCGUGGACGCCAGUCUGCGUGGAGCCAACCUUGAAAUACCACCCUUUAAUGUUUGAUGUUCUAACGUUGGCCCCUUACCGGGGUUGCGGACAGUGUCUGGUGGGUAGUUUGACUGGGGCGGUCUCCUCCCAAAGCGUAACGGAGGAGCACGAAGGUUAGCUAAUCCUGGUCGGACAUCAGGAGGUUAGUGCAAUGGCAUAAGCUAGCUUGACUGCGAGCGUGACGGCGCGAGCAGGUGCGAAAGCAGGUCAUAGUGAUCCGGUGGUUCUGAAUGGAAGGGCCAUCGCUCAACGGAUAAAAGGUACUCCGGGGAUAACAGGCUGAUACCGCCCAAGAGUUCAUAUCGACGGCGGUGUUUGGCACCUCGAUGUCGGCUCAUCACAUCCUGGGGCUGAAGUAGGUCCCAAGGGUAUGGCUGUUCGCCAUUUAAAGUGGUACGCGAGCUGGGUUUAGAACGUCGUGAGACAGUUCGGUCCCUAUCUGCCGUGGGCGCUGGAGAAUUGAGGGGGGCUGCUCCUAGUACGAGAGGACCGGAGUGGACGCAUCACUGGUGUUCGGGUUGUCAUGCCAAUGGCACUGCCCGGUAGCUAAAUGCGGAAGAGAUAAGUGCUGAAAGCAUCUAAGCACGAAACUUGCCCCGAGAUGAGUUCUCCCUGAGACUUUAAGUCUCCUGAAGGAACGUUAAAGACGAUGACGUUGAUAGGCCGGGUGUGUAAGCGCAGCGAUGCGUUGAGCUAACCGGUACUAAUGAACCGUGAGGCUUAACCUU